rnacentral:rRNA from 1 species
AUGUGGCCAGUGUCACCCAAUCCUAGGCCAGUGCCUCCUGAAUAUGUUAGGUUGCCAGGAAGGCCUAAAAACAAUGAUAGGAGAAGAGAAGAAACUAAGCAACCUAAGGGGAAGAAAAUGAGCAAGCAUGGCACAAUUAUCAAAUGCUCAUUGUGUGGUAACCCUGGACACAACAAAUCAGGAUGUAAACAGAAUCCAGAGAGAGGCAAGAAAAAGAAUGCACAUCUUGCUAGAACUAGCAAGAAAAAGAACCCAACUGAGGUAUUUGUUGCUGUCAUGUACUUAUUGCACAUUGCAUAUUUAUCCUGCUUAUUAGUCUUUUGUUGGAACUUAUUGCAUAUUUAUCCUGAAUUUGCAGCAAUCCAAAGGAAGUGCACCUGCCUCUGCCUCUGCAUCUGCUCCACCAACAGCAACAAGUUCAGUACCAACAGGUCCUUCUGCUGGGACCAACAUGUUUAA